UGGGGAAUAUUGCACAAUGGGCGCAAGCCUGAUGCAGCCAUGCCGCGUGUAUGAAGAAGGCCUUCGGGUUGUAAAGUACUUUCAUCGGGGAGGAAGGCGAUAAGGUUAAUAACCUUGUCGAUUGACGUUACCCGCAGAAGAAGCACCGGCUAACUCCGUGCCAGCAGCCGCGGUAAUACGGAGGGUGCAAGCGUUAAUCGGAAUUACUGGGCGUAAAGCGCACGCAGGCGGUCUGUCAAGUCGGAUGUGAAAUCCCCGGGCUCAACCUGGGAACUGCAUUCGAAACUGGCAGGCUAGAGUCUUGUAGAGGGGGGUAGAAUUCCAGGUGUAGCGGUGAAAUGCGUAGAGAUCUGGAGGAAUACCGGUGGCGAAGGCGGCCCCCUGGACAAAGACUGACGCUCAGGUGCGAAAGCGUGGGGAGCAAACA
rnacentral:rRNA from 1 species